rnacentral:rRNA from 1 species
CUGCAAUCAAGGAUAAUUA